CCAAUAGCGUAUAUUAAAGUUGUUGCAGUUAAAAAGCUCGUAGUUGAAUUUCGGGGUCAGUAGGUUGGUCGUGCCUAUGGUAUGUACUGGCUUUACUGAUUCCUCCUUCUUGAAGAACUGUAAUGUCAUUAAUUUGGUGUUGCAGGGAAACAGGACUGUUACUUUGAAAAAAUUAGAGUGUUUAAAGCAGGCUAACGCUUGAAUACAUUAGCAUGGAAUAAUGAAAUAGGACGUUCGAUCCUAUUUUGUUGGUUUCUAGGAUUGACGUAAUGAUUAAUAGGGAUAGUUGGGGGCAUUAGUAUUCAAUUGUCAGAGGUGAAAUUCUUGGAUUUAUUGAAGACUAACUACUGCGAAAGCAUUUGCCAAGGAUGUUUUCAUUAAUCAAGAACGAAAGUUAGGGGAUCGAAGACGAUCAGAUACCGUCGUAGUCUUAACCAUAAACUAUGCCGACUAGGGAUCGGAUGAUGUUAAUUUUUUAAUGACUCAUUCGGCGCCUUACG
rnacentral:rRNA from 1 species